GACCAGACUCCUACGGGAGGCAGCAGUGGGGAAUAUUGCACAAUGGGGGAAACCCUGAUGCAGCGACGCCGCGUGAGUGAAGAAGUAUUUCGGUAUGUAAAGCUCUAUCAGCAGGGAAGAAAAUGACGGUACCUGACUAAGAAGCCCCGGCUAACUACGUGCCAGCAGCCGCGGUAAUACGUAGGGGGCAAGCGUUAUCCGGAUUUACUGGGUGUAGAGGGAGCGUAGACGGCAGUGCAAGUCCGGAGUGAAAGCCCGGGGCUCAACCCUGGGACUGCUCUGGAAACUGUAAAGCUGGAGUGCGGGAGGGGCAGGCGGAAUUCCUGGUGUAGCGGUGAAAUGCGUAGAUAUCAGGAGGAACACCGGCGGCGAAGGCGGCCUGCUGGACCGUAACUGACGUUGAGGCUCGAAAGCGUGGGGAGCAAACAGGAUUAGAUACCCUAGUA
rnacentral:rRNA from 1 species